CAAUAGCGUAUAUUAAAGUUGUUGCAGUUAAAAAGCUCGUAGUUGGACCUUGGACCUGGACAGGCGGUCCGCCUCACGGCGUGUACUGUCUUGCUGGGUCUUUCCUCUUGGUGAUCUGUUGUUUCAGCAGCAGGGAACCAGGACUUUUACUUUGAAAAAAUUAGAGUGUUCAAAGCAGGCUCGACGCCGGAAUAUAUUAGCAUGGAAUAAUAAAAUAGGACGUGCGGUUCUAUUUUGUUGGUUUUUGGAAUCGCCGUAAUGAUUAAUAGGGACAGUCGGGGGCAUUAGUACUCACAUGCUAGAGGUGAAAUUCUUGGAUUUUGUGAAGACUAACUUCUGCGAAAGCAUUUGCCAAGGAUGUUUUCAUUAA
rnacentral:rRNA from 1 species